rnacentral:sRNA from 1 species
ACUGUUUGCCAAGUUCAGCUUCCCAAUCUUAUAAUGACCGCUGAUGUCUGCUGUUCCCACAGAGCCAAGGCCCAGGCUUUGAUUCAGAAUCUCUCUCUGCUGCUAGUGGAUGCCUCGGUUGGGACCAUUCAGUGUCUUGAGGAAAUUCUCUGUGAGUUUGUGCAGAAGGAUGAGUUGAAACCAGCAGUGACCCAGCUGCUGUGGGAGCGGGCCACCGAGAAGGUCGCCUGCUGUCCUCUGGAGCGCUGUUCCUCUGUCAUGCUUCUUGGCAUGAUGGCACGAGGAAAGCCAGAAAUUGUGGGAAGCAAUUUAGACACACUGGUGAGCAUAGGGCUGGAUGAGAAGUUUCCACAGGACUACAGGCUGGCCCAGCAGGUGUGCCAUGCCAUUGCCAACAUCUCGGACAGGAGAAAGCCUUCUCUGGGCAAGCGUCACCCCCCCUUCCGGCUGCCUCAGGAACACAGGUUGUUUGAGCGACUGCGGGAGACAGUCACAAAAGGUGAGCUCUCAGGGAAGGCCUUGGGCAGAUGUGGGCCCUUUGUUGCAGUGAACAACUUCUCCCUCCUCCUCUGCAGGCUUUGUCCACCCAGACCCACUCUGGAUCCCAUUCAAAGAGGUGGCAGUGACCCUCAUUUACCAACUGGCAGAGGGCCCCGAAGUGAUCUGUGCCCAGAUAUUGCAGGGCUGUGCAAAACAGGCCCUGGAGAAGCUAGAAGAGAAGAGAACCAGUCAGGAGGACCCGAAGGAGUCCCCCGCAAUGCUCCCCACUUUCCUGUUGAUGAACCUGCUGUCCCUGGCUGGGGAUGUGGCUCUGCAGCAGCUGGUCCACUUGGAGCAGGCAGUGAGUGGAGAGCUCUGUCGGCGCCGAGUUCUCCGGGAAGAACAGGAGCACAAGACCAAAGAUCCCAAGGAGAAGAAUACGAGCUCUGAGACCACCAUGGAGGAGGAGCUGGGGCUGGUUGGGGCAACAGCAGAUGACACAGAGGCAGAACUAAUCCGUGGCAUCUGCGAGAUGGAACUGUUGGAUGGUAAGAAAAAUGGCUGCACUCAGCAGUUUCUUCCCAAUUGAGAUAACCUGUCCCAAACCUGCAGUUACUCUUCCAACAGGCAAACAGACACUGGCUGCCUUUGUUCCACUCUUGCUUAAAGUCUGUAACAACCCAGGCCUCUAUAGCAACCCAGACCUCUCUGCAGCUGCUUCACUUGC